rnacentral:rRNA from 1 species
CCCUUAGAUGUUCUGGGCUGCACGCGCGCUACACUGAAGCUAUCAACACGUUUUCCCUCCCUGAGAAGGGCGGGUAGCCUUUUGAAUCAGCUUCGUGGUAGGGAUCGGGGCUUGCAAUUGUUCCCCGUGAACCAGGAAUUCCUAGUAGACGCGAGUCAUAAGCUCGCAUCGAUUAAGUCCCUGCCCUUUGUACACACCGCCCGUCGCUACUACCGAUUGAACGUUUUAGUGAGGCAUUUGGACCGACGCAUCUCAGUUUAACCGCUGGUUUGUGUUGGAAAGACUUCCAAACUUGGGCGUUUAGAGGAAGUAAAAGUCGUAACA